rnacentral:rRNA from 1 species
CACGUAGGGUCCGAGCGUUGUUCGGAUUCACUGGGCGUAAAGGGUGCGUAGGCGGUCGGGUAAGUCUGGUGUGAAAUCUCACAGCUUAACUGUGAAACUGCAUUGGAUACUAUUCGGCUUGAGAGUUGGAGGGGGGACUGGAAUUCUUGGUGUAGCAGUGAAAUGCGUAGAUAUCAAGAGGAACACCAGUGGCGAAGGCGAGUCCCUGGACAACUUCUGACGCUGAGGCACGAAAGCUAGGGGAGCAAACAGG